AGGAAAGGGCAGCCUUUGAGGCUGGUGAUUCCCCGCCCGGCACAUCCGCUGUGCAGAGGAAAGGCAGGCUGUGCUGCUGCUCGCUUCCACAGGGUGGUGAGGCAGGACAACGUCUGAGCUCGCGGGCACCUAAAAAUGUUAAGGUGACCCGAUUAACCAACGCCCACUGAGGUGACGAGGGGGAAUCCGGCACCACUGGCCAGCUGAGAGCCUUGGGAACUGCAACACUUUUGCCUGCUGCAGCUGCCUGAGAGACACGGGCACAGAGAAUGGACAGAGUUCUCAAUACUCCUAGAAGCCUCAAAACUCUGAGUUAUCUUUCCUGACUAAAGCCGUUAGAAAUGACCAGGGACCUACAGACAUUGCGGUCCUUCCCCUUGGCAAAGACCUAGAGCACUGUCAAACAAAAUACCCCUGCACUCACUUUGCCUGGUCCUGGUGCCCUUUGGUGAUUUUGGUGCUGGCUUGGCUUGGCUUCCCUACUGUUUGGCUGAGGAGUAGAGCUAGUUAACUUCUCCUCUGGAUUGGAAGAGGUGCAAUACUGGAUGUCCAGACCGGGAAGGCUGCUGUGGAGGCAAUGCCUCCCUACAGUUCUGGAUCUGCUUUCAGUCUCUAAAAGAAGAGCAGCAAGCCUGACAUGCCCCCAAAAGUCGGACCAUCCUUUGGCUGCGAUGGAAAGUUGAUGGAAAUCAGGAUUUCGUCCAGUACCUUUUCAUCAUCAGGGAGGAGCUAAAACAGAGGGAAAGAAGGGAUAAGAGCUGAGGAAAAACUCCUUUAGUAGCCAAGCCAAGGUUGACUGGAUAGAAGGGAGCCAUCCUGACACCAACAGAACCCCAGAGGAGCAGAGAAUCAUUCCUUGUGCCAUCCUACCUCCACCUGUCUGUCAGGUAUGU